rfam:Pteropus alecto contig36558, whole genome shotgun sequence.
GUCUAUGGACAUACCACCCUGAAUAAGCCCAGUGUCUGAUCUCGGAAGCUAAUCAGGGUCGGGACUGGUUAGUACUUGGAUGGGAGACCACCUAGGAAGACCAGGUGCUGUAGGCA